CUCGAACAUGUGGAUGAAAUAACUCAGGAUGGGUAAUAGAACAGAGAGGAAAUGCUCAGCGUCGGGUGCCAGUGACCUGGAGUGGACUCUAACUUGCUCACUGCUCUGACCCCUUUCAGAGGUCCCUAGGGACAAAACCCCGCCUGCCCAGCAGUGUUCCCAGGAGGCUGCACAGAAAUGGAAUAUCUGAUUUGGAGGAGCAGCCCCUCAUACGUGGACCAGCAUAAGCCUGCAAUCUAGAGAAGUGUAUCUUCUCUGAAGACCGAAAUUUUCCCUCAGAUCCCAUCAUUACGGUGAAGCAGCUGCUGAAUUGCCAAAAAGACACUCCAGAAGAAAAACAGUGGAAUAUCUCUUGGUACCCUUUUUAACAUGAGGGGAAUGGGAUAAUUAGGCAGGAGGUGUGGGAAUAUGGGUUUUUAGCAUUUCAGGGAUUGACCUUUGUGAUUUGGGUGUUAUCUGGCCAUUUUCCAGAGAAAUAAGAGCAAAGGAGUGAAUUCCCUAGAGGCAUUCUUCCAGGUCUCUUCUUGACCAAAGAUCAUGCUGUUUGCUCACAAGAGGGCUUGGAAUAAAUACCAAUUCUUUGGGCAAGGGGCAGCAUAUGCGGCAGCGCUAGGUUUCCUGGCACCAGGGAGCUGAAGGAUCCAGAACAAGGAGGAAAAGAGACAAAAUGAGAGUACUCAGGCUGAUGGGUCCCUUGGAGCCGUUCCUCCUCAUCCCAGCCUCCAGCAUCACUUCCCACCUGAUUGUCACUGUUCUCAUCCAGAUCUCUCCCAGGCUUGCUCCACACCUCUGAACCCACAUGUCCACCUGUGG
rnacentral:lncRNA from 1 species